AAUUUUUUGUAUAUAAUCCCAUGUGAAGCAAACACAUGAAUUUAGCUCUAUACAUUUCAGGCCUGGUUCUCAUUUCUAUGUAUACAACUUGGAUAGUUUUAUGAUUAAUAUGCUCGAUAUGAUACCAUGAUUUGAUAUUGCGUUUGUUAAGUGUUUAAUAAAUGUUAUCCAAACUAAUUGCCUCUAGUUGGUCAUGAUGUAAUUCGAUAUUCAUAAGUUGUUUUUGAUAUCAAUAAUCAAAUUUGAGUCGAUAUGUGCAAGAGAUCGCUGUGAAUAUAUGCGUAACAGGUCACUGUGAAAUGUAAUAAGUGUGAGUGAAGUAUGUUUGAAUUUAUAACUCAAAUCCAAUGAUUUUAAUUGCUAAUUUAAGAAUGGAAUGGUACUGUUUAUGUCAAGUGUUCAUUUUCUUCGUAUAUGUGUACAACUUUAAUAACAUGUCUUAAUGCUAUGAAGUAUUAUACUAUUAUUCCACCAAGUCCAAGAGUAAUUCCUUUUCCUUAGAAUUUUCAAUAGCUUCCCGGGGGCGAAGAAGGCUUAUUAAUAUACAGAUUUUGUUAAGUAUCAGCUCAAUAGAAGUAGUCAGGUGUUAAGUAAAUUCCUUGUCAUCAUGUACAUACGGGGUUGUUCCAAAUUGUGCAACAUAGGACUAAACAGAACUUUUCCUUUGAGCUAAUUACCUUCAAGCGCAAGGUUCUCUUAUUUGCCAGAAGAAAAUAAUAAGAGUUCCUCGAUGAAAAAUUCCCAUGUCAUAAUCGAUUGCUCCACUCGUAAUGUUUGAAACCAAAUGUUCAAUCACUCUACAAUGUUGCAUAUAUAGGUUAAGCUGAGCCCAAAUGAUGUCAGUAUUAAUUAUGACACCCACAAGCGAAACACUAAUCAGAUUACAGGAAACCUUCCUAUUUCGGGGGUGGUGUAGGCAUACAGUGACUUAGAUCAGAUGAGUCAAUUUUGAACAUGAAAACAAAUAAGAUGGUAUUUUGUAGGCACUGGAUGUACGAUUAUGAAGUUUCACUUCCCUAACUCCACUGUUUGAUAUGUUUUUAAUCCAAAUAUCUAUAUCUGAAUAGAGAUGAAGUGGCAGAUCAUUAGGAUUGCAAAGAAUAAACUUCAAUAUGAGACCUCCAAGAGAUAAAAGAAUACUGCUGCCGGUUAUUGAAAAUUCAUAUAGUUUAGUUUCUCUACUUCUGAAAGGAAACCUCUGAGAAAACCGGUUGAAGAAAAGGUCAUCAAAAACUAGGUGUGAGUGUAUUUCCCAUUUACCCCUUCAUGUUUUUGAGAGAAUCCUCAUUCUUGCUACACAGUCAACCGGCAAUCACUUUUGAAUUAGGUCUAGUAAGUCACUGGGCAUGUCACUUUUGAAUUAGACCUUAUACCAAAGCGAUUGCCGGUUGACUGUGUAGCGAGAAUGUACAUUCUCUCAAAAACAUGGAGGGGUAAAUGGGAAAUGCACCCACACCUAGUUUUUGAUGACCUUUUUCUUCAACCGGCUUUCUCAGAGGUUUCCUUCCAGAAGUAGAGAAACCAAACUAUAUGAAUUUUGAAGAACCGUCAGCAGUAGUCUUUUAUCUCGUAGUGGUCUCAUAUUGAAGUUUUUUCUUUGCAUUCCUCAUGAUUUGUUUCUUCAUCUCUAUUUAGAUAUAGAUAUUUGGAUUAAAAACAUAACAAACAAUGGAGUUAAGGAAGUGCAACUUCAUAAUCGUACAUUGAGUGCCCACAAAAUACCAUCGUAUUUGUUUUCCUGUUCAGAGUUGACUCGUCUGAUUCUAAGUUGUAUGCUCACACCACCCCGGAAAUUGAAGACUUCCGUAAUCUGAUUACUGUUUUGAUUGUGGGUGUCAUAAUUACAACUGACAUAUCAUUUGGGGCUCAACUUACUGACCUACAUUUGCAAAGUUGCAUUGGGAUUGAACAUUUGAGAAUGGAAAGGCAUUUGUUUAUGUCAAGUGUUCAUUUUCUUCGUAUUUGUGUACAACUUUAAUAACAUGUCUUAAUGCUAUCAAGUAUUAUACUAUUAUUCCACCAAGUACAAGAGUAAUUCCUUUUCCUUAGAAUUUUCGAUGGCUUCCCGGGGGCGUAGAAGGCUUAUUAAUAUACAUAUUUUGUUAAGUAUCAGCUCAAUAGAAGUAGUCAGGUGUUAAGUAGAUUCCUUGUCAUCAUGUACAUACGGGGUUGUUCCAAAUUGUGCAACAUAGGACUCAAAAAAACUUUUUCUUUGAGCUAAUUACCUUCACGCGCAAGGUUCUCUUAUUUGCCAGAAGAAAAUGAUAAGAGUUCCUCGAUGAAAAAUUCCCAUGUCAUAAUCGAUUGCUCCACUCGUAAGGUUUGAAACCAAAUGUUCAAUCACACUACAAAGUUGCAUAUAUAGGUUAGUAAGUUGAGCCCAAAUGAUGUCAGUAUUAAUUAUGACACCCAUAUGCGAAACACUAAUCAGAUUAUAGGAAACCUUCAUAUUUCGGGGGUGGUGUAGGCAUACAGUGACUUAGAUCAGAUGAGUCAAUUUUGAACAUGAAAACAAAUAAGAUGGUAUUUUGUAGGCACUGGAUGUACGAUUAUGAAGUUUCACUUCCCUAACUCCACUGUUUGAUAUGUUUUUAAUCCAAAUAUCUAUAUCUGAAUAGAGAUGAAGUGGCAGAUCAUUAGGAUUGCAAAGAAUAAACUUCAAUAUGAGAC
rnacentral:lncRNA from 1 species